CUAUAUUUAUAGAAUCCAUACAAUUUUCAUAGAUCGUCAUGGAUUCAUAAUUACAUUAAUUUUUGCUUAUGUAAAAUAAUUAUAUAAGAAUAAAUAAUGUAUUCGAGAUUGUAAUUAAUCUUGGUACUCUAAAUCCCGUAGACUAUAUUUGAGAAGUGGUUUGUAUAUGUGUCAUCACUACAUUAACUUUCACAAAAAAAUGAUGACAUUGCUUAAAAGAAAUAUGACAGGACAUAAAUCUAAUUGUGACAUGUAAAAUUUAUUAUAUUUAGAUUUAUGUUUUUGGUAAGAUUUUUUAAAUAUAAUAAUGAUGAUUUUCUAUAUACGGAUUUAUAUUUUUGGAAAAGUUUCAUAAUAUAGUAAUAACUAAUAAAUUUUUAUAUCAAAAAUAUUUUUUCUCAGUAAAUAUUCAUUUUGGUAAGAUUUUAUGAUACUUAAUAACUUUUCUAUAUCUAUUAAAAUAAUAUGUUCUUAUAUAUAAAUAAUAAUUACGAAUAUUAAAAUUUUACAUCAAUAUAUGAAUCAUAUUUUUAUUAUUAAAAUAAGUAUAGUUUAAAAUAUAUAUUUUAUCAAGGUAUAUAAGUUAUUUUUAUUUAAUGUAUAUAUUAUUAGAAAUAAUUUACAUAUUUACAAAUAGACAUAUUUAAAAAUGGUAAUUAAAUAAAGAAUAAUAUAAUAAAGUAACUUUAUAAAUUUCAAUUAUUUUUAUCAAAAGUUAAAUAAUGCAAAAUUAAAAGGUCAAAGUAAACUUGAAUAAAUCAAACUAAAAACAAUUACAUUAUGAUUUUAUUUUUUUAACUAAUAAAAGUAAAAUAUAAAAAUAGAAAAUUUAAUUUAUAUAUAACAUUUUUAAAUAUUUUAUAUUUGCGCAUGGCGCAGGAAAACUCCUAGUUAAGCUUUAUGUUUGUUUAAUUUAGUUUUCUUUUUGCGUUUGUAAUAGAUUGACUAUAUUUUAGUUAUAUUAUAUUUAGUAUAAUUUAAACGUUUCCUAAAAAUAAAUUAUGUAGCAUAUAAUAUACACAUAAUUUUUUCAAAAUUACAAAUCAUUUGUUCAGAAUGAUUUGAUCUAUAAUCUUUUUUUUUUUUUUUGAAACUAAGAUUUGAUCUAUAAUAAUCUAUUAGAAAAAAAUAGCGUGUUAAGGAAACACAUGCCGUGUAAGUUAUAUGAUAAUAGCAUGUUGUAAUUAUCUUUUGGACGGUCAACUGAUAGCAUGUUAUUGAGUUCACAUUAGUAUAAUGCCAUUUUAAAACGGGUUACAUAAACGUUCUUGUUUUAAACUACAAACUAUUAAUUGGUGGGAUAAAAAUUCUAUUAAGAAACUUGGUCAACCCUCAUGGCCUCAUCAACCAUAUAUAUUUUAAUAACUAAAAAUUACCUGGCUGAGUGAGAUGUUUUAUUGCAAGCUAAAACAAUUUUAAAAGAAAAAGUACGUAUCCAACUUUCAUGCAACAUUUGAAGAGUUAAUGUUUCACCAAUCCAUGCAUAAUCUCAUAUUUCAUAUUCCAAAGUUCGUUGAACGUUUACUGCAGCGGCACCACUUCAAAAAUGAAAUAUACAAACUUAUUAUCAUUACAGAUAGCUCUCGCCUCUCGUUGCUUCUGGAAAGUUUUCUUUAUGAAAAAUGUCAUAUUGGUUCGACCAGUAAAAGUGUCAGCCGGCUUAACUGAGUUCGAUCGUCAUCGGAAAUUCAAUUUCCACUCAUAUUUUUUUUAGCACUUUGGUGUAGGGCCACUACAAAACAAUUGUAUAUAUGUAUAACAUAUGCUUUCACAAUUAUUGAAGAAAGAAGAAAAACGUCCCAUUUGAAUGAAAUAAAGAUAUAACAGUCUCAAAAUUUGGUGUCACGCUUAUAACGAUUGUAUAAUUUUAGUUUAUUUUAGAGAAGAAAAAUGAAAAAUAAAAAAGAAUUAAAUCUGGAAAAUUAAAUCCGAUAGAGACGGAGACGCCAUGAUCCAUGAGAGUAGAAGUGAAACGUGGGAGCUGACUCAAUAUUUCUAUAAAUAGAGAGACAUGAAGGUAUGUAGUUACAGCUACUCCAGACUAGAGACUUGAAAAAGUAUUGACGACUAGUGGGUGAAAGAUAUCUGAGUUCCGUCUUCUCUACUUGUAAGUCUUUAUUACUAAUCAAGUGGUACGUUCCAUUUUUUCAACUAAUGGUAGCAAGAUUUGUAGACGAGAUGCUUUACCUGAUGCUUCAAUUAUAGCUGCCUCUGACUCUCUGUAUAUAUUUGAUAUCCGUUCCAUCGAUCAUUGUUGCUCCUUAAAUUCGUAAUAUAUAUCGUAUUAUGAGAAUUUGAGACCGUAACAAUAUAAAGGAAACAUGUAUAGAAAACAGAAUAAAUUUUACAUGUGUAUUGUCAUUACAAAAUCAUGAUUUGUCUUUUUCUGCAUCAUAUAUGUCUUCUUCGUAAAUACGUGCAUGGUGCAAGAUAAUUUCUUAAACAGGCUAAUGUUCAUAAAUAUGUAAUAUACACAUAAAUUUGAUUUUCUUUUUAUAUUCUGUAUAUAUAUAUAUGUUUUUGGAGAAGAUUUAGACCCAUGCUGCCUUGCAUAUGAAUCUAUCUAGAUUAAGAUCCUUAAAUCAUAGCUAGUCAUUUGUCCAAAAACAUAAAACAGUUUGUACUCCAAACAAAAAUUUAGAAAAGAUAAGAAGUGAACACUAUUAUCUGUUAUAAGUUCUAAAUUAACUAAACCUUGACAUCCUCGAGUUAAAAUUUACGUUAUCUCCGUUUGCCAAGGAAACAAAGCACACAUAUCAUACGGUUGAAAAAAUAAGAAUAAAGUUACGUACAUAUCAUUACAAAUAUAUUAUAGCCACUAUAUUAACAACUAUAAGUUUUGACAAAUAUAAGACACGACACUAGAAUUUAGAUCAAUUGAAAGUGAACACUAUAAAACUUUGGUUCAUCGAUACGGUCGAGGAUAAUAAGAAGACGACAACUAUCUCGUGAAUUUCUUUUUGCCUUGGCAUCGUAUGUACGUGUGCUUCCCAUAUGGAACACAACUUCGUCGUUUUCUUUUAAGUUCCAGUGCCAAACGUUCCUAAACCUUAAAGGAUUUCCUUCCUCUUAACAUGCAAACCUGAAACUUUCCUUAGCUUCACGAGUUUAUUUACAAAUGUUUUAAUUAUUGUGAUGUGUUAUUUUGGUGUUAGGCCGCAUCAAGCUUAUUUAACUAAGCUCAAGUUGGAAUCAGAAACAAGAGCAUCCUUCUUCAUUUACACAGGGCUUUUAAGAUGGUGAUAAGAAGUGUGGAUCUACGAUCAGACACCGUGACAAGACCCACUGAUGCUAUGCGCGAAGCAAUGGCUGGUGCUGAGGUGGACGAUGACAUACUUGGCUACGAUCCAACAGCUCGACAUCUCGAAGAGGAGAUGGCUAAGAUGAUGGGUAAAGAGGCAGCUCUCUUCGUGCCAUCUGGUACAAUGGGGAAUCUGAUAUGCGUUAUGGUUCACUGCGAAGUGAGAGGCAGCGAGGUGAUUCUUGGAGACAACAGCCACAUCCAUGUUUACGAGAAUGGAGGGAUAUCAACAAUCGGUGGCGUGCAUCCCAAGACAAUCAAGAAUGAAGAAGACGGGACGAUGGACUUGGGGGAUAUAGAAGCAGCUAUUAGAGACCCUAAAGGUAGCACGUUUUAUCCAUCUACAAGGUUGAUUUGCUUGGAGAACACACACGCCAACUCUGGUGGGAGAUGUUUGAGUGCUGAAUACACAGAUAGAGUUGGAGAGAUUGCGAAGAGACAUGGACUAAAGCUUCAUAUCGAUGGAGCUCGCCUCUUUAAUGCUUCCAUUGCACUUGGAGUUCCUGUCCAUAGGCUUGUAGAGGCUGCUGACUCUGUUUCCGUGUGUCUCUCUAAAGGUCUUGGAGCUCCAGUAGGAACUGUAAUCGUUGGCUCACAUACUUUCAUAGAGAAAGCGAAAACGUUGAGGAAAACACUAGGUGGAGGAAUGAGACAAAUAGGGGUUCUGUGUGCAGCCGCUUUGGUCGCACUCCAAGAGAACCUCCCAAAGCUACAAUUUGACCACAAGAAAGCAAAGUUGUUAGCUGAAGGGUUGAAUCAAAUGAAAGGGAUUAGAAUAAACGUUGCAGCCGUGGAGACUAACAUGGUGCGAUAUUCAUGGAUAUGGAGGAUGGAUCAAGACUUACUGCUGAGAAACUGCGCAAGAGUCUAACGGAGUGUGGCAUUCUCGUCCUCCCAGGAAACUCAUCUCGGAUCAGAAUGGUUGUACACCACCAGAUAACAAUAAGUGAUGUACAUUACACAUUGUCUUGCUUACAACAAGCAAUGCAAAUGAUUCAGGAACCAAGCCUAAACCAAACCGGCAAAACCGAAAAUGCUCUCUCUUUUUAAAUGUUGUUUGUCUAAGUUAUAUCUAAUUGUAAACAAUAAGGAUCGCUCGAUCUGUCAAUGUAAUUGUCACCCUAUGAUUUCCUCCAUUUUAUUAUGAAACACCCUCACAGUUGCAAGAAAAUUGAUUUUUUUUUCUGGUUUAGAGAUGCUACGAGAGCUGAGAUUAGAAAAAUGGUAUUAUCUGAAGUAAUUUUUUGAUAAUCUCUUUCAAUUCAAUGUACUUUGGACUUUCAAAAUAGAUGCCAAUACUAGUGUGAAAUGUUGAACUGGAAACCAAUCCACACAUGAAUCUUGUUGUAGUCCCACUAGCGACUAAAGUCUAAAACUAACGGUUUCAAGAGCCUUUAAAGUCUUCUUUCUUUCUUUCUCCUCUGUGUUGUUGUUUCAAGAGGCGCAAGAACAAACAGAGUUUUUUGGUUAUAUGUUUCUCUGUUUCCUCUGUAAAAGUGUCCAAAAAGAACGUGCAGGGAGCCUCAUCAACUCUGUAUGUACACACUAAAUCUCCUUCCAACUAAAU